rfam:Nitrospirae bacterium RBG_16_43_8 RBG_16_scaffold_6331, whole genome shotgun sequence.
GCGGGAGUAGCUCAGUGGUAGAGCGUCAGCCUUCCAAGCUGAGGGUCGCGGGUUCGAAUCCCGUUUCCCGCU